rnacentral:rRNA from 1 species
AGUGAACGCUGGCGGUAGGCCUAACACAUGCAAGUCGAACGGCAGCACAGUAAGAGCUUGCUCUUACGGGUGGCGAGUGGCGGACGGGUGAGGAAUACAUCGGAAUCUACUUUUUCGUGGGGGAUAACGUAGGGAAACUUACGCUAAUACCGCAUACGACCUACGGGUGAAAGCAGGGGAUCUUCGGACCUUGCGCGAUUGAAUUAGCCGAUGUCGGAUUAGCUAGUUGGCGGGGUAAAGGCCCACCAAGGCGACGAUCCGUAGCUGGUCUGAGAGGAUGAUCGGCCACACUGGAACUGAGACACGGUCCAGACUCCUACGGGAGGCAGCAGUAGGGAAUAUUGGGCAAUGGGCGCAAGCCUGAUCCAGCCAUACCGCGUGGGUGAAGAAGGCCUUCGGGUUGUAAAGCCCUUUUGUUGGGAAAGAAAAGCAGCAGGUUAAUACCCCGCUGUUCUGACGGUACCCAAAGAAUAAGCACCGGCUAACUUCGUG